GAAUAAAAAUAAAACAUAGCAAGCAAACAAAGAACUGAUUUCAACACAACAAUCUGUGGCCCUUUCCGUCCACACCAAUCAACAAAAUAAAUGCCCAGAACCAUCAGAGAAUCAUCAAGAAUCGAACAUAAGAUAAAACAUAGAAGAUAGUUGAAAACGUACCUGGGCAGUCUCCACCCAAUUACUUGGCUAUUUCGCUACAGUUCCUCUCCAAAAUCUCCCAAAGAAAACCUAGUGAAUCGCUCUCUCUUUUCUUUGAAGAUAAACCUUUCUCCUUCGUUCUCGCUCUUGUGUGUUUUCCACAAAAACCAUCAAAGAAACACUGUAAAACACUGGAAGUGAACCUAAAGACAUGUGCUAAAGGGACAAAAUAGAGGGUCUACAAUGCCCUUUCCUGGAGAAGACUUUGGAUAAUGAAAGAUCCUAUGAACAACUUGUAGAUGAGUCUCCUUCAAGCUAUGCAUGAAUUGGCUUAUGACUC
rnacentral:lncRNA from 1 species